CUAUCACCCCAACAUCAUGUGGGAAGGUCACUUAUACAACCCCAUAUUUACUACAAGGGUGAGUGCUGAACCAAGUAAGUCAGUCAGAAUGCUACCAUCCCUUCGUCCUUGGGGAUGUCAUUCGUGGAUCUCCCAUCCUCAACACAAAGUGCAGUACCUGUGAUGUGGCCUCCCCUGAGGGAUCGUGGUGGACUCAGCUCAGUAAUGUCAGUCACCAAACUUCAAGGAACUAAGGAAACUGACCCAAGUCCUGCUUUGCAUGAACGAUUGCAUUCAGAAUUGCUCUGAGAUCAACAGUCUCUUAAAAUUACUUCAAAGCCAAGAAGUAAUAUAAAGCUGCUAGUUUCCUCCUGGAAGGAAAACGGCACUUAAUUUGGCUGAAUAAGACUCCUAACUGAAUUCUCAACUAUGUUGUUUAUGGGGUCUUUUCCAAGACCAACUCAAGAUACAGAAGUUAUUGAAGAAAAGAAUUGGAAAAACUAUGUAUACCAAGGACCUUCUAAUUAGAGAGUACCUUUCAAAAUGAAAGAGCUUCAAAAAUGAUAGAAUUUGGGCGCCUGAGUGGCUCAGUU